CCUACGGGGGGCUGCAGUGAGGAAUAUUGGUCAAUGGGCGCGAGCCUGAACCAGCCAAGUCGCGUGAGGGAAGACGGUCCUAUGGAUUGUAAACCUCUUUUGUCGGGGAGCAAAAGACGCCACGCGUGGCGUUCCGAGAGUACCCGAAGAAAAAGCAUCGGCUAACUCCGUGCCAGCAGCCGCGGUAAUACGGAGGAUGCGAGCGUUAUCCGGAAUUACUGGGUGUAAAGGGAGCGUAGGCGGGGAUGCAAGUUGGGUGUCAAAACUACCGGCUCAACUGGUAGUCGCCCUCAAAACUGCAGCUCUUGAGUGAAGUAGAGGCAGGCGGAAUUCCUAGUGUAGCGGUGAAAUGCGUAGAUAUUAGGAGGAACACCAGUGGCGAAAGCGGCUCUCUGGUCUGUAACUGACGCUGAGGUUCGAAAGCGUGGGUAGCAAACAGGAUUAGAUACCCUUGUAGUC
rnacentral:rRNA from 1 species